GAUGAACGCUGGCGGCGUGCCUAAUACAUGCAAGUCGAGCGAACGGACGAGAAGCUUGCUUCUCUGAUGUUAGCGGCGGACGGGUGAGUAACACGUGGAUAACCUACCUAUAAGACUGGGAUAACUUCGGGAAACCGUAGCUAAUACCGGAUAAUAUUUUGAACCGCAUGGCUCAAAAGUGAAAGACGGUCUUGCUGUCACUUAUAGAUGGAUCCGCGCUGCAUUAGCUAGUUGGUAAGGUAACGGCUUACCAAGGCAACGAUGCAUAGCCGACCUGAGAGGGUGAUCGGCCACACUGGAACUGAGACACGGUCCAGACUCCUACGGGAGGCAGCAGUAGGGAAUCUUCCGCAAUGGGCGAAAGCCUGACGGAGCAACGCCGCGUGAGUGAUGAAGGUCUUCGGAUCGUAAAACUCUGUUAUUAGGGAAGAACAUAUAUGUAAGUAACUGUGCACAUCUUGACGGUACCUAAUCAGAAAGCCACGGCUAACUACGUG
rnacentral:rRNA from 1 species